AGUGGCGGACGGGUGAGUAACGCGUGAGAAUCUGCCUUGGGGUCGGGGACAACCACUGGAAACGGUGGCUAAUACCGGAUAAGCCGAUUGGUGAAAGAUUUAUUGCCCGAAGAGGAGCUCGCGUCUGAUUAGCUAGUUGGUGAGGUAAGAGCUCACCAAGGCAGCGAUCAGUAGCUGGUCUGAGAGGACGAUCAGCCACACUGGGACUGAGACACGGCCCAGACUCCUACGGGAGGCAGCAGUGGGGAAUUUUGCGCAAUGGGGGAAACCCUGACGCAGCAACGCCGCGUGAGUGAAGAAGCAUCUUGGUGUGUAAAGCUCUGUCGAUAGGGACUAAGAAUCGUUGCCUAAUAAGUAACGAGAUUGAAUGUACCUAUAAAGGAAGCCCCGGCUAACUCCGUGCCAGCAGCCGCGGUAAUACGGAGGGGGCAAGCGUUAUUCGGAAUUACUGGGCGUAAAGGGCGCGUAGGCGGCGCAUUAAGUGAGAAGUGAAAGCCCACGGCUUAACCGUGGAAUUGCUUCUCAUACUGGUGUGCUAGAGUAUGGGAGAGGAAAGUGGAAUUCCCGGUGUAGCGGUGAAAUGCGUAGAGAUCGGGAGGAACACCAGUGGCGAAGGCGACUUUCUGGACCAUUACUGACGCUGAUGCGCGAAAGCGUGGGUAGCAAACAGGAUUAGAUACCCU
rnacentral:rRNA from 1 species